rnacentral:rRNA from 1 species
AGACUUAGCGAACUGAAACAUCUAAGUAGCUAUGGGAAGGGGAAUCAACCGAGACCCCGUUAGUAGCGGCGAGCGAAAGCGGAUUGGGCAAAUACUAAGCAGCGGAGGUUUUC